UACGAAGGGUGCAAGCGUUAAUCGGAAUUACUGGGCGUAAAGGGUGCGUAGGCGGUUGUUUAAGUCGGUGGUGAAAGCCCCGGGCUCAACCUGGGAAUGGCCAUGGAAACUGGCGAACUGGAGUGUGGCAGAGGGGGGUGGAAUUCCGCGUGUAGCAGCGAAAUGCGUAGAGAUGCGGAGGAACACCGAUGGCGAAGGCAGCCCCCUGGGUUAACACUGACGCUCAGGCACGAAAGCGUGGGGAGCAAACAGG
rnacentral:rRNA from 1 species